rnacentral:hammerhead_ribozyme from 1 species
AUCCAGCUGACGCGUCCCAAAUAGGAUGAAAAGCGCAUCAUGGGU